CCAAACUCAUUUAUAACAAUACUCACAAUUUAACUAUUAAUGAACACCACAUUUAAAACGAGGCAUAACAUAAGUUUACAUGAUGAUUCCAUAUUUCAUAGGUCGUCUAUACAUGCCAUAAAAUUUCCGGAGCGAUAGUAGCAAAAUACCCCAAGUGUGAAGGAUAGUGUGGAUGAUUGUCUGACUUCGUUCCAAAUUUCCGAGUUGUUGGAAGUCACUAUAAUCAAGGGAAAAAUAAAAUCGAGUAAGCAUAUAGCUUAGUAAGUAAAUACAUGAUAAAUAAGUAAUUACUCACAUAACUACACCAAAAUAUAAACUUAUUCAUGAAUAACUUCAUUGUUUAGGCAAUUUCCAGCAAACUAUUUUUCUGCGUCAUAGUCGCUAAUUUAUUUUUAUCCGGAGCUGCAGGGCUCCAAUUUGAGUUCCGUAAAUUUUCCCUGAAACUAGACUCAUAUACCAUUUCACCAUAAAAAUUUCAGAAUUUUUGACCGAGCCAAUUAGUACAGUUUAUUCAUUAAACCUUCCCCUGUUUCACUGCCCAAUGGUUCUGACCCUUCCUCACAAAAAUUCCCUUAACUCUCUGUACAAAAUUUGAAAAAUGGUUUCUCUUGUUUCUAUUAAAAAUAAACUCAAUAAGGAAUCCAAGGGUAUAAAUUUCAUGCCAUAAUUAUUUUUUUACAAUUUUUGGUAAUUUUCCAAAGUUAGAACAGGGGAUCUCGAAAUCAAUCCAGCCCUGUUUCAGUAAAAUUCAGAUAUCUCCAAAAAAUACAACUCUUUUGCUUAUUCUAUUUCUUUCAUAUGAAAAUAGACACAUUCAGCUUCAAUUUCAUAUAUUAUUCAGCUUCCCAUUCAUUUUCCACCAUUUAUGGUGAUUUUUCAAAGUUACCCAACUGCUGUUGUUCAACACAGUUUAUAAUUAAAUCGUUCCUUUUUCGUUUUUGAUAUUUUCUCCCAUCUCAUACAUGGAUCGAUUUAGUGUCCAACUCAAUAUUUACCCCAUAAAAUUUUCCACCAUAUGGCAAUAUUCACCUUUCACACUUUUUCGUUGAACACUCGGAAUGUUAACCGUUAUUGGUGGAUCUCGCAC
rnacentral:lncRNA from 1 species